UUUAUGGAGAGUUUGAUCCUGGCUCAGGAUGAACGCUGGCGGCGUGCCUAAUACAUGCAAGUCGAGCGAACGGACGAGAAGCUUGCUUCUCUGAUGUUAGCGGCGGACGGGUGAGUAACACGUGGAUAACCUACCUAUAAGACUGGGAUAACUUCGGGAAACCGGAGCUAAUACCGGAUAAUAUUUUGAACCGCAUGGUUCAAAAGUGAAAGACGGUCUUGCUGUCACUUAUAGAUGGAUCCGCGCUGCAUUAGCUAGUUGGUAAGGUAACGGCUUACCAAGGCAACGAUGCAUAGCCGACCUGAGAGGGUGAUCGGCCACACUGGAACUGAGACACGGUCCAGACUCCUACGGGAGGCAGCAGUAGGGAAUCUUCCGCAAUGGGCGAAAGCCUGACGGAGCAACGCCGCGUGAGUGAUGAAGGUCUUCGGAUCGUAAAACUCUGUUAUUAGGGAAGAACAUAUGUGUAAGUAACUGUGCACAUCUUGACGGUACCUAAUCAGAAAGCCACGGCUAACUACGUGCCAGCAGCCGCGGUAAUACGUAGGUGGCAAGCGUUAUCCGGAAUUAUUGGGCGUAAAGCGCGCGUAGGCGGUUUUUUAAGUCUGAUGUGAAAGCCCACGGCUCAACCGUGGAGGGUCAUUGGAAACUGGAAAACUUGAGUGCAGAAGAGGAAAGUGGAAUUCCAUGUGUAGCGGUGAAAUGCGCAGAGAUAUGGAGGAACACCAGUGGCGAAGGCGACUUUCUGGUCUGUAACUGACGCUGAUGUGCGAAAGCGUGGGG
rnacentral:rRNA from 1 species